rnacentral:rRNA from 1 species
AGAGUGAACGCUGGCGGCGUGCUUAACACAUGCAAGUCGAACGAGAACGGAUUAUAGCUUGCUAUGAUUGUCAGCUAAGUGGCGCACGGGUGAGUAAUAUAUAGGUAACGUGCCCUAGAGAAGAGGAUAACAAUUGGAAACGAUUGCUAAUACUCUAUAUGCCUUUAAGUCAAAAGACUGCAAGGGAAAUAUUUAUAGCUCUAGGAUCGGCCUGUACGGUAUCAGCUAGUUGGUGAGGUAAGAGCUCACCAAGGCAAUGACACCUAACUGGUUUGAGAGGAUGAUCAGUCACACUGGAACUGAGACACGGUCCAGACUCCUACGGGAGGCAGCAGUGGGGAAUAUUGCACAAUGGACGAAAGUCUGAUGCAGCAACGCCGCGUGGAGGAUGACACAUUUCGGUGCGUAAACUCCUUUUAUAUCUGAAGAUAAUGACGGUAAGAUAUGAAUAAGCACCGGCUAACUCCGUGCCAGCAGCCGCGGUAAUACGGAGGGUGCAAGCGUUACUCGGAAUCACUGGGCGUAAAGAGCAUGUAGGCGGGUAAUUAAGUCAGAAGUGAAAUCCAAUAGCUCAACUAUUGAACUGCUUUUGAAACUGGUUACCUAGAAUAUGGGAGAGGUAGAUGGAAUUUCUGGUGUAGGGGUAAAAUCCGUAGAGAUCAGAAGGAAUACCGAUUGCGAAGGCGAUCUACUGGAACAUUAUUGACGCUGAGAUGCGAAAGCGUGGGGAGCAAACAGGAUUAGAUACCCUGGUAGUCCACGCCCUAAACGAUGCACACUAGUUGUUGCUAUGCUAGACAUAGCAGUAAUGCAGUUAACACAUUAAGUGUGCCGCCUGGGGAGUACGGUCGCAAGAUUA